UUCUGGCGACCAGCGGCUGUUGCACGAAUACGACUGUCUUAGUGGCCUUCCUCUAGAAAAUAACGCGGCCAUAAUUGCGAGCCAUUCUCCCGUCGCAGUGUUAGAAGCUGCCCCGAGGGCAGAAUCCAUUUAAUUAGGGCGUUCCAACUUGAUAAUACUUUGCGCGCAUAAUAACAUCCAGCAAGCCCAUUGGGUUACAAAUGGUUCCAAAGAUACUUUGAACAUACAAGCCUCAAAUUACUCCGCCCUUGGAGCCCCCCCAUCUGUUGCUUUGAGUGUUUGCGCGGAGACAUCCCUGGUAGGUUGACCGCAUGCAGCACAUGCUCUAUCAUGCCGCAGUGUGUGUGUUGACUCUCCUGCCGACGGAGAAGUUGAGUCAGAUAACAACUAUGUUUCAGCUAUCUUCUGUCAGUGAUGGACUCUUCAGAAGCAAGGGUACGCACUUCUAAGAGUUUCACGCCAGUGGUUCGAACAGCAUAUUUUUCCAUAAUAAUAACUAUCCGACGAAAUCUUGUUUCUUCCGCCACAUCGAGGAUCAGAACUGAUGAUGAGAGCAGGAAAGCUCUGAUAAUCAGUAGUAUUUUAAUAGAUAUAUUGUAUAUAGUAUUUUAGAUAAUUAGUAGUAGAAGGGCUGGUACAGGAUAUGGCGCCUAUAACGGUCCUCUCCAAUUCCAAAUGGCACAAAAAAAAGUAAAAUAAAACAUCCCUGGCGUCUGUCGCUGAAACACCAAACUUAUGAAAGAAAACUUAUCGGAACUGAAAGAAACAGGAUUUGUAAAACUUUUUUUUCCAUAAAGUUACCUUUUUUCCAGUCCCACUUUUAGAGUUACAACACACAUAUACCGCCGGUUUUAUUCCGAUGUGCGCGAAAUAUGAGAAUACGACCAAAUCUUCAGAAGUUUUGCGACUACUUUAUAUUUGUAUCACUUUGUAUGUUAUUGUAUUUUAAUUCUAAUGCCAAUACAUAUGCUGUCUCCUAUCAAGUUUAGGGAGCAUGCAGGUCUCCCUCACAGUCCCAAAAGUUGAUACGAGAGAGA